UAACCCUAGACGCACCCUCUCGUCUCCCCAGCAUCCAGCCCCCGCCGCCAUCUGCCUCGUUUCUCCUCCCUAGUCCCGACUCUCUCGCUUCCUCCUCUCUGCCGUUUCUCUUCCUGAACCACGCCUUCCCUUCCGGUUCUCUCCUCCCCGGCACCGGCGGCCACGAGGCAGAAUUGGUGGCGGAGGCGAGAUGCCAGGUUCGACAAUCUGUAGCGCCAUCCCCGACCUCGCUGGCCCUGCCGCCGGAUCCGGCCUUACCGCAGCUCCCCCGCGAUUCCCUCCCAUGGCGGCACGCCGGAUCCGUGCCCGCCCCUGACGCAGCGGUGGCGUGCCAGAUGCCUUCUCCCCGCCCCUCGGUGUCCCCGGAUCCGCUGUGCCUCUCUGCGUCUGCGUAGCUUCCGCGCCCGCCGAGGAGCUCCGUCAACGACUCGCAGAGGACCGCCCGUGUCACAGCCUAGACUUUGUCAUCGAUGUGGACAGUCAGUGAUUGGUGCAAGGGUGGAUAGGCCGAGUACUCCUACGCCAUGUGCAGAUGGGUUGCAGCUGCUGAUGACAAGUCCAGAUUUUAGCUCAUCUUCACCUUUUAGUCCAGCGUGCAGAUAUAGAAGAGAUUUCAGUAGAUGAUGAGCUGUGGGAUGAUGGUUAGCUAGCAACCAUCUUUGAGAAGGUGAUGUUUUUUGGAAGAUGGAAGACGAAGAAGAAGCCGAUGAUGAAGCCUUUACUUUUAUUUGUGCUAAAUAAUUUGUAUUUUUCUGUAUGUAUGAUUUACCAACUGGUUUGUCCUUUCAGUUGGUUAAUAUAUAGAGAAAAGGUGUAACCAUUUCUUUUAUAUGAGGCCUGGUCAUAGAGAUAUUUGUUGUUAAAAUAUGUGUUUCUUUGCAUAAUUGUUGACAAAAAAAACUA